UUCUCAGCCAUCUCCCUGCUCCCAGGGCUGCGGCGUUGCCUGCACUGAGCCUGACUUCCGGCUUGCCUGGCAGGGGAGGGCAAGGCCAGGCAGGGACCCCAGCCAGCACUUCUGGGAGCAGAGGUCUUUGCUGGCUCCAGGGGCAGCAUGGGGCCAGCACAGGACCUGGGAGGACACCUGGGAGCUGGUCGGUUGGUCCUGAAACAUGGAGGCCAAGUGUAUGAUGAGUGACUCCCAGACAGUGAGAACCUGGCAUGCUGGGAGGCAGAGGAGACGGAAGCAGAGGCCCACAGUCUGGGGACAGGCAGACAGGCAUGCUGGUGAAUGUCCCACAGCCCGCUCUCCGGGGGCAGAGAGCCCCCAUUCCUGACUUACGCUAAUUCCCAUGCUGUGAACGUACCACUGCUGGCUCUGGCUGGGCACCCUCAGCAUGCCCAUCCCCCAGUGCCACCCGCCUGCCUUCGAUUCUGGUGGUUCUCCAUCCUACACGGCCUGGCUGCUCUCUGGCUACAGAUAUUCUCAGUGCCUCUGAAGAUGUGACCCAAGGGCAGUCUCUCAAAAAUACCUGAAGCCAAGAAACACAGUCUGGAAACCAAAAAAGGAAUUCCGAGA